rnacentral:lncRNA from 1 species
GAUAGAGUCCAGCAUAUCGUGAUUCAGUGCAACAGAGAGACAAUUACUAAAUCCUCUGCUUUCUGCUGCCUGCAGCAUUUUCAGCGUUUUGUGCAGAACCUGGCAUUUUCCUUCAGUGAACUUCACACCAUCUAUGAUCAUCUCGGACUCCAGUCUAUCUGGGUCCCUCUCAUACCUCCAGAGUAUCAACAGCACCUCCCAUCAGCAAACUUGCUAAGGAUGUACUCCACUCCUUCAUCCAGAUCAUCGAUAAA